rnacentral:lncRNA from 1 species
AAAAUCGUCCCAGAGUUGCAUUUGAUGAGUGUGCUUUCUGUAAGAAGAAAAACCAUUGGAAGGCAAAUUGUCCUUUACUGACAAGCAAGGGAAAUCAACAGCAACAACAAACAAGANAAAUUGUCCUUUACUAACAAGCAAGGGAAAUCAACAGCAACAACAAACAAGACCACCAACACACUCUCAGUCUUCACAGCAGAACAAGUCUUCUGGACAGUCACGUCCCUCUUUUUCAUCUUUUAGGCCAGCACAGUACGCUGCUGCUACACCUUCAGUUGAGAAUGAAACAGAUUUCACACCACCAUCAGCCUUGGAUCCACAGAUUGUUGAGCAAUUCAGACAGUUCUUAGUUACCAAUCCAACUGCCAUGUCAGCUUCCAUGUCUCAUUCAGGUCUGUCUUCAUCCAACACGUCAGGUAUUCCUUCAUCCUUGUGGAUAUUGGAUUCUGGUGCAUCUCAUCACAUGUCACCACAUUUUUCAUCUUUUGCUUCAUUAUCUUCUCGUACACCUGUCUCUGUUAUGUCUGCUAGUGCUACACCCAUGUCAGUAGAGGGUG